rnacentral:tRNA from 1 species
GUCAGGGUAGCUCAGCUGGUUAGAGCGUAGCAUUCAUAACGCUAAGGUCGGGAGUUCGAGCCUCCCCCUUGACACAA